rnacentral:rRNA from 1 species
AUUGAACGCUGGCGGCAUGCCUAACACAUGCAAGUCGAACGAGUGGCGGACGGGUGAGUAAUGUCUGGGAAACUGCCCGAUGGAGGGGGAUAACUACUGGAAACGGUAGCUAAUACCGCAUACCAUCGGAUGUGCCCAGAUGGGAUUAGCUAGUAGGUGGGGUAACGGCUCACCUAGGCGACGAUCCCUAGCUGGUCGGAGAGGAUGACCAGCCAACAUGGAACGGAGACACGGUCCAGACUCCUCGGGGAGGCAGCGGUGGGGAAUAUUGCACAAUGGGAGCAAGCCGGAUGCAGCAAUGCCGCGUGUAGGAAGAAGGCCUUCGGGUUGGAAAGUACUUUCAGCGAGGAGGCGGUACUCGCAGAAGAAGCACCGGCUAACUCCGUGCCAGCAGCCGCGGUAAUAC